CGCCAGCGCCCCCAGCAGGCGCGGAGCGCGUUGGUGGCGGCGGCGGGGCAGCGCGGCGCGGCCGGCGAGCACGGGCCCUUUCUUCUUUUUCCUUUCUUCUGCUUGCUUGUCAAGGCCCGAGAGGAACCAUUAUUUCAAAGAAAACUUGACCUAAGAAAAUAAUUAUACAAGGGUUCUUUUGAAGACUCUGACCCGGAGUUACACGUUCUUUGCGGGAAUGGGACCCGCUCUCGGGGUUUCACGACUGGCCGUUGUUCGAUAUGCCAAGUGCGUGGCCUAAGAGCUUUGCUGGUCUUCACCAGUCCAGGAUCUCAUGGCUCUGGAGACAGGCGGACCGAAGGUUGGUGUCUCUGCAGGAAUCCGGUGUGUCAUGGGAGAUGGAAGAUCAAAAGCUGCAAGCUGGCUGCAGGCUGUGUGUGUCCAGAGACCCGAGCUCUUUGGGCACAGAGCUCAGAAAAAGUGACACAACAGACUUUUAACAUCGUAAAUCAGCGAGUUGUUUGUUCUGUCUCCCUUCUCGCUGUGAAACAGAGACACCUCUUUCUCCCUUAUUAGAGAGAGAGGGAGAGCCUGUGGUAUGUCAAAUACCGGGUGAACAAGUAGUCAUUGGGGUACUGCAAGUCUAUGUCUUUGCUGAUGAUUUGCUGCACACUUCAGUGCUCGGCGGUGGGGGCUGUUGCUUUUUUCUGCUGGUGGGGGGAGGGGGAUUGUUGCUUGCUGCCGCUUACGCAUGGGAGGGGUGAACUGGGGGUGGGGCUUUUGGGUUCUAACAUUUAACUCAUUCAUUCUUUGGGGGCACUCCUCUGUUAUCGUGGAUGGUUGCGAGAAAAAAGUAUAUUGUAUACAUUUCUCUGACAUUAAACUGUACCUUUGAAACCUUUGAAGGUCUUGGGAAGCUAAAAUGUCUGAAGGUAGGUAAGGCACCUGGAACAGAUGGAGUAUACCCCAGGGUUCUGAAAGAAGAAACUGAAGAGAUUGUGGGAGCAUUAAUAAUGAUCUUUCAAGAUUCAAAAAAUUGCAAAUCUCACUCCACUCUUCAAGAAGGGAAGGAGGCAAAAGAAAGGAAAUUUUAGGCUAGUAAGCAUGACCUCAGAAGUUGGGAAGAUGUUGGAGUUGAUGAGUAAGGAUGAGGUUUUGGGAUACUUGGAGGUACAUGAUAAAAUAAGCCAAGUCAGAAUGAUUUCCUUAAGCGAAAAGCAUGUCAGACAAACCUGUUGGAAUUCUUUGAGGCCAUAAUAAGCAGGAUAGACAAAGGAUUGUCAGGGGAUGUUGUUUCCUUGGAUUUUCAGAAGGCCUUUGAUGAGGUGCCACACAUGAGGCUGUUUAACAAGUUAAGAGCCCGUGGGAUUACAGGAAAGAUUUUAGCAUAGAUCAAUUGGUUGAUUGAUUGAAGGCAAAGAGUGGGAAUAAAGGCAGCCUUUUCUGGUUGGCUGCCAGCAUCAAGUGGCAGGAAUUGCUUCUUUUGGAUGAUGGAAUUGUGGCCAAGUUUGCCAACAAUAUGAAGUUAAUGAAGGGGCAGGUAUUGGUGAGGAAGCAGGGAUUCAGCAGAGGAUUGAGGCAGAUUGGGAGAAUGGGCAAAGAAGUUACAGAUGGAAUACAGUAUCGGGAAGUGUAUGGUCAUCCACUUUGGUAGAAGAAAUAAAGCGUAGACUAUGUUCGAAAUGGGUAGAAAAUUUAAAAAUCUGAUGUGUAAAGGGACUUGGGAGUUAUUCUGCAGGAUUCUUGAAAGGUUACCCUGUAGGUUGAGUUGGUGGUAAGGAAGGCAAAUGCAAUGUUAGCAUUCAUUUUGGGAGGACUAGAAUAUAGAACAUAGAACAAUACAGCACAUUACAGGCCCUUCGGCCCACAAUAUUGUGCCGACCCUUAAACCCUGCCUCCCAUAUAACCCUCCACCUUAAAUUUCUCCAUAUACCUUUCUGGUAGUCUCUUAAAUUUCACUAGCAUAUCUGCCUCCACCACUGACUCAGGCAGUGCAUUCCACGCACCAAUCACUCUCUGAGUAAAAAACCUUCCUCUAAUAUCCCCCUUGAACUUUCCACCCCUUACCUUAAAACCAUGCCUCUUGUACUGAGCAGUGGUGCCCUGGGGAAGAGGCACUGGCUGUCCACUCUGUCUAUUCCUCUUAAUAUCUUGUAUACCUCUAUCAUGUCUCCUCUCAUCCUCCUUCUCUCCAGAGAGUAAAGCGCUAGCUCCCUUAAUCUCUGAUCAUAAUGCAUACUCUCUAAACCAGGCAGUAUCCUGGUAAAUCUCCUCUGUACCCUUUCCAAUGCUUCCACAUCCUUCCUAUACUGAGGCGACCAGAACUGGACACAGUACUCCAAGUGUGGCCCAACCAGAGUUUUAUAGAGCUGCAUCAUUACCCCGCGACUCUUAAACUCUAUCCCUCGACUUAUGAAAGCUAACACCCCAUAAGCUUUCUUAACUACCCUAUCUACCUGUGAGGCAACUUUCAGGGAUCUGUGGACAUGUACCCCCAGAUCCCUCUGCUCCUCCACACUUCCAAGUAUCCUGCCAUUUACUUUGUACUCUGCCUUGGAGUUUGUCCUUUCAAAGUGUACCACCUCACACUUCUCCGGGUUGAACUCCAUCUGCCACUUCUCAGCCCACUUCUGCAUCCCAUCAAUGUCUCUCUGCAAUCUUAGACAAUCCUCUACACUAUCCACAACACCACCAACCUUUGUGUCGUCUGCAAACUUGCCAACCCACCCUUCUACCCCACUUCCAGGUUGUUAAUAAAAAUCACGAAAAGUAGAGGUCCCAGAACUGAUCCUUGUGGGACACCACUAGUCACGACCCUCCAAUCCGAAUGUACUCCCUCCACCACGAGAAAGAGCAAGGACGUAAUGCUGAGGCUUUAUAAGGCAUUGGUCAGACCACCCUUGGAGUACCGGUAUUGUGAGCAGUUUUGGGCCCUGUAUCUGAGAAAAGAUGUGCUGCCUUUGGCCAGGGCACAGAGGAGGUUCACAAGAAUGAUUCCAGGUAUGAAAAGGUUAGCACACGAGGAACAUUUGAUGGCUCUGGGCCUGUACUCACUGGAGUUUAGAAGAAUGAAGGGACCUCAGGAAAACCUACUGAGAUAGAGAGGAUGUUUCCUAUAGCGGGGAGUCCAGGACCAGUGGGCACAGCCUCAUAAUGGAGACAAGUCCAUUUAGAACACAGAUGAGGAAGAUUUUCUUUAGCCAGAGUGUAGUGAAUCUAUGGAAUUAAUUGCCACAGGUGGCUUUACAGGUUGGUAUUUUCUUGAUUAGUCAAAGUGUCAAAGGUUAUGGGGAGAUGGCGGGAGAACGGGGUUGAAAGGGGUAAUAAAUUGGUCGUGAUGGAAUGGCAGGUCAGACUUCUAUCCAUGACUAAAUUAUUUUAAAUUGUGCUCCCAGCAGGAGUUUCCAACCCCAGGUCCAUGGAUCCCUUGCUUAACGGUAUCGGUCCUUGGCAUAAAAAAGGUUAGGAACCCCUGGCCGAAGGUAAUUCCUAAACACGCCUAUUCAUUGCUGCCAUCAAACUAACCCAUACAGAGCUGAGAAUGAAGGAAUAGGUUCUUUUUGUUGCAUCUGUGGAGGUAAGAGUUUCUCUGACUGUUAAGGCUCUAUGAGGGAUCAAGUCCAUGGUGUGUCAGGGAGGCACUGAUGUGGCAAUAUCAGUGACAACAGCUUUGCAGUAACUCAGUGCAUCGCCCUGCAUCUGCACAGGAGAAAAGGACAGGCCAUUCUCUCCCUUCAGUUGCUGCUCCUUCAAUAAGAUCAUGGACUAUCUGUACUUCAGCAGUACCCCUAACUAACAAAACUCGCUUGAUCACAGAUUGAAGGGCUCCUCUAGUAUUGACAGGGAGGGGAGAAUGGUUGAUUUGGGCAGCUCUGGAAUAUACACAAUGCAAAUUCAAUGUGGGUUUUGUUUCCUCACAGAGUAAAUGCUGGUUAAAGUGUCAGUAGGUCUCCUCUCGGUCACCCAUAGGAGUUUUCUCAACAAACUUACAGCUGGGGCUUCAUAGCUACAGCCACCCAUGUCCAAUUGUCCAAUCCUCACCUCCGGCACAGUCCGUGAAGCUCACACGUUCUCCAGGUCACUGGGUGGACUUCCUUCAGGUGCGCCAUUUCCCUCCCACCUCCGAAAAAUAUCUGGGUUGGUCAGUAAAUAGAAAACCUACAGCACAAUACAGGCCCUUCGGCCCACAACGCCAUGCUGAACAUGUCCUUACUUCAGAAAUUACCUCAGGUUACCCAUAGCCCUCUAUUUUUCUAAGCUCCAUGUACCAAAUUGUCCAGAAUAAAUAAUCCAGAUUGUUGUGAGUGAUAGAAUCUGGAGUGAACUCAUGGGAAUGUGGGUGAGGGGGAUAUUAAUGGAUAUUGUUUACUUAAAAUUUUCAAAAGACCUUUGACAAAGUGUCACAUAUGAGGCUGCUAAACAAGAUACAAGUCCAUGGUAUUACAGGAAAGAUAUGAGCAUGGAUAGAAGAUUGGCUGAUCGGCAGGAGGUAGAGAGUGGGAAUAAAGGGAUCCUUUUCUGGUAACUAGCAGUGUAAUGAAGGAGUCGGUGUUGUGAACAUUCACAUUAUAUGUCAAUGAUCUGGAUGAUGGAAUUGAUGGCUUUGUGGCCAAGACUGUGGAAGAUACAAACAUAGGUGGAGGGGCAAGUAGUAUUGAGGAAGCUGGGAAUCUGCAGAAGGACAGAUUUGUGGAAUGGGUUGAUAAAUGACAGGUAGAUUGCAAUGUAGGGCAGUGUAUGGUCAUGCACUUUGUUAGAAGGAAUAAACAUGUAAACUGUUCUCUAAAUGGGGAGCAAAGUCAAAAUUAGGAAGUGGAAAGGUACUCAGGUCUCCUUGUGCAGGAAUCCCUCCAUAGGAUUCUCUUCAAUAGAUGCUGCCCGACUUACUGAGUUCCCCCAGCAUUUUGUGUGUUUUGCUCAAGAUUUCCAGCAUCGGCAGAAUCUCUUGUGCUUAAUAGAACAAUGCUGCAUUCAAACAAUGCCUUUCACAACUUAAGGACACACCAAAGCAACUAGCAACCAAUGAGUUAAAAAGGAACUGGGCAACCAGUUGUGCAACAGCAAGUUCCCGUAAAGUGGGACUUGAUAGCACUCAGAUAUUCUCUGUAAAUGAUGCUGGUUGAGGAAUACACAUUUGUCAGAACACUUGGGAGAAUUCCCUGGUCCUUUUUAUUUUGAAAUACUGUUAUGGGAUCUUAGGGUAUUGCUAUAACAUAUCGUCUGAAAGGUAACUCCUCUGAUAGUGUAAUGCUCUGUCAGCAUUGUACAGGAACUUGGGCUCCACCAUUCCCUCGGGUGUCUCGCAUAGAUUGAAACUUGUAUUUCUCUUACCUCUUCAGCAAAAAGGAAGAAGGCAAAGCUUCUCUUAUCCCUACAUCACGUGAAGAAGAGGCAUGUGAGAUUAUCCAAAUACAAUUUGCCUCUGUGUCCAGGAAGGGACAGCACCUCUGGUGAAGGGGCCUGUCAAAUCCAUUCUGGGGCAGCUCACUCACCUUUGGUCCCCAGCGGACACUCAGCUCUCACCUGUGGCUCCAACUAGCUGUUUGCAUGUGACAGCGUCCACAGCCCAGUACAAAGGCGGGCUAGACCAGGUGAGGGUAGCUGGCAGGUCUCAUAUACCAGUGAGAUAGGGACCUGCCUGCCCCAGCACGUGAAGUCAGCUCCAGCGGACUGGGAGGAUGAGAUCCAAUGGCCUGCAACACUCUCCAAUGGAGAGUGAAGGCCAUGACAAGGCACCACAUGGUCAUCACAUGGUCAACCAAAGAAGACCCCAGAUGUGACGACUACUCGUACGACUGGACGUGGACCUCUGAGGUCCAGAAAGUGGAACUGCCCCAAUGCAAUGGCUUUUCCACUUCAAAAACUCUCCCGCACAGGUUUCCUAUUAUCAUCAGAUACAACGGACAACCACCUCAAAUUUGCUUUAGUAAAACAGAGA